UACGUAGGUGGCAAGCGUUUGUCCGGAAUUAUUGGGCGUAAAGCGCGUGUAGGCAGCUUGGCAAGUCGGGUGUGAAAGCCCUGGGCUCAACCUAGGAAGUGCACUCGAAACUGCUUCGCUUGAGUAUCGGAGAGGAAAGCGGAAUUCUCGGUGUAGAGGUGAAAUUCGUAGAUAUCGAGAGGAACACCAGUGGCGAAGGCAGGUCUCUGGGCAUUAACUGACGCUGAGGAGCGAAAGCAUGGGGAGCGAACAGG
rnacentral:rRNA from 1 species